GAUGAACGCUGGCGGCGUGCCUAAUACAUGCAAGUCGAGCGAACAGACGAGAGUGCUUGCACUCUCUGGCGUGAGGGGCGGGCGGGAGAGAAACAUGUGUGAAACACAUCUAUAAGUGGGAGAACACCGCGGAAAACGGGCGAUAAUAGCGGAAAAUAUUUAGCCGCGCAGGUAGAAAGAGAGAAAGACGGUUCUGGUGACAUAUAUAGAGGGACCCGCGGCGUAUUAGCUGGUUGGUGAGGUAAGGGUACACCAAGAACACGAUUCAUAGCCGACCUGAGAGGGUGAUCGGCCACACUGGAACUGAGACACGGCCCAGACUCCUACGGGAGGCAGCAGUAGGGAAUCUUCCGCAAUGGACGAAAGUCUGACGGAGCAAUGCCGCGUGAGUGAAGAAGGUUUUCGGAUCGUAAAACUCUGUUAUUAGGGAAGAACAAGUACGUUAGUAACUGUGCGUAUCUUGACGGUACCUUACCAGAAAGCCACGGCUAACUACGUG
rnacentral:rRNA from 1 species